AUUGAACGCUGGCGGCAGACCUAACACAUGCCAGUCGAACGGUAACAGGAAGAAGCUUGCUUCUUUGCUGACGAGUGGCGGACGGGUGAGUAAUGUCUGGGAAACUGCCUGAUGGAGGGGGAUAACUACUGGAAACGGUAGCUAAUACCGCAUAACGUCGCAAGACCAAAGAGGGGGACCUUCGGGCCUCUUGCCAUCGGAUGUGCCCAGAUGGGAUUAGCUAGUAGGUGGGGUAACGGCUCACCUAGGCGACGAUCCCUAGCUGGUCUGAGAGGAUGACCAGCCACACUGGAACUGAGACACGGUCCAGACUCCUACGGGAGGCAGCAGUGGGGAAUAUUGCACAAUGGGCGCAAGCCUGAUGCAGCCAUGCCGCGUGUAUGAAGAAGGCCUUCGGGUUGUAAAGUACUUUCAGCGGGGAGGAAGGGAGUAAAGUUAAUACCUUUGCUCAUUGACGUUACCCGCAGAAGAAGCACCGGCUAACUCCGUG
rnacentral:rRNA from 1 species